rnacentral:lncRNA from 1 species
AAAAAAAAAAAGUAACGCAACACAACAAGACUGAUUAACAUGAUGUAGUAGGAUGAUAUGGUAAUAUCAAGAUCAUUGCACAACCUAUCGUAUACACCUUUCCGAGACUCUAGCAUCUAGACAAGGACCCAUGGGUGGCUCGCAGUCCAUAUAGCAAUCUCAAUAUCUCAAUGUCUCCUUAACUUGCUACCUCAGCGUUGUCAUGAAUUUAAAUAAGCUAUUACAUUUUCUUUCUAAAAAAUAUGGUAUUUCUCCACUUUCUCAUAUUUUCAUGAACAAUAAUAUGUUGCAUGAGGAUGAAUGCAUCACCACACAUAUAACACAAAGCAUAAUCAGUUCAUUAAGAGUUGCAAGUAGUACAAACUAAAUCCCCUAACUCGGGCAUUUCAAUGUAAAAAAUAAGGCAUGUCAUACCGCCCCUCGCUUGGGCAAUUACUCAAAUAUCACAGACUUUCCACAACAGUUAACACUAUCACACAAGCCUUCACACAUGCUAAACAUCACAAUAAGGCAUCAAAUGAAUUAAAAUAGGGAAAUCAAGGCUUACUAGUUUCUAAAACCCAAAUCAUUACUCAUUUCACAGUGGGCUGCCUAAGAACAUGUUAAUUACUCAUCUGAGUCUAAAAGUGGGAUAGCCAAACCUACCUCAAGGCUAAAACUAUACUUGAACAACUCCACCAGAGCAAAUCCAAAAUGACACGCUAAUUGAAAUAUUUUUUGAAUAUCAAUAAUGGAAAGAGUUCAUCAAAAGGAACUCUAUGAUACCCAUAUUGCUAGGUUUUGAAAUAAGGGGUAAAAUAGUUCAAAAAUCUCAUUGGAAAUUUAAAAGGAAAAAACAUAUUUUUAGUUGAAAAUCAAGCCACACAAGCCAAGAUGGAUUCAUGGAUGAAAACCACAUCAAAAUCAAUUAAGAAAUGUGUCAAAUCAUCAAAAUGCCAUAUCACCAAUUUUAGGGGAAGAACCCAAAAAUCCUCUUUAAAUCAAGGUUUAAACGAGUUUUUGGAAGAUAAAAAGAAUAAGAAAGGGAGCUUGCCCACACAAGAAAUCACUAAGAAGCAAGAAAGAAUCGCCUCCCAACUCUCCAAGGGUUUGAAAAUGGUGGAAAUGGAAUUUUUGGAAAAAAUGCAGAAUAUAUGUUUUUCCAGGUGAAAUUUUUUCAUCUUGAUUGCGAGCCACUAAUUCUCGCGGUCAUGAAAGAUACAGGAGAAUUAUCGCGAUCGCGACACACCUUGUCCGCGAAGCCUUAGAAGAAAGGAAUUCAUCGCAAAUUUGAGCCUAUGGGUCCCGAUCGCGAAGGCCCCAAAAAAGAAACAUCGCGAUCACAAGAUAAAGGUCCGCGAUUGCGAAUGUAAAAAAUGACCUGUACCAAAAACUGAAAACUAGCAACUCAAACUCAAAUUAAAAGCCUCUGAAUGGACCGUCGGGAAUCGCUCGAGGUCCAAUAAAAACAAAUUUGACAUUCUACCCCACUACAAUCAACAUUCUCGGCAUAAUGGAAUCAUUGGAUUUCCGAAAAGAGGUCAAAUAACGGAAUUACCCUCCCAGGCCACUCGUAAGGCUAACACUAAACUUUUCACCCAAACGCCUCAAAACUCAACACAAGGCCUCGAAAGCCUUACCAACCACCUGACUAGCUCAAAAUCAACGUUCCAGAUGCAAUGGAACUAAAAAAAUUCAUAUUCAAUGCUCGAAAGUAAAAAUAUUGACCGAAGUCAACCUUAUCAAGAAUUCUCAACUCAAGAGGGGUCAAAUUACAAAAAACACACCCGAUCGCAUCGGGGAUCAUACCAACCAUUUUCAAAACACAAACUAAGCAUGAAAAGAGUGAGAGGAAGGGUAAAGUGGUAAUUUCAUAAUUAAAAUAAAAUUCAUAAGAAAUGAGACAUUUCGGUACGAAUUCAGAUCAUCUUAGUAAUACUACUGAUGAGUCCUCAUAUUUCGAGGACAUGCUUUACAUUACAUUCAUUAUAGUAAUUUUAGUUUCACACAGUUAGAGUUAGUUAGGGGCUUGUUCUAGCAACUCAACUUAAUAGACACUUCCAGACAGUUAGUGUAGCUUCAACUUAUGUUUACUUAGAAACUUGUUAUUUUAGAUGUUUAAGUUUAAUAAACUUUAUUUUAUUUAGCUUCCAUAUCAGUAUUUCGGUUAUCCACGUAUGUAUAUCUUAGUAUCAUGCUAAACUAUGGUUUAGCUUAGAGCCACUUGUAUAGAUACACUACAAGAAAAGUGUGAAUUACAUGGGGAUUUUCCUGGGGAACAGUAUGAAAAUCCAUAGGAAACUUAUUUUCCUACAAAAUUUCAUACUAAUCCUCAUGAAAAUCCCCAUGUAAUUCACACUUUUCUUGUAGUGAUAUGAGCACGUGUUAUGAUUAGGGAAUAGUCUCGGGUCAUGACAAAAAGGCAAUCUCUAUUGUGGCCUUCAUCUUGGUUGAGUCCUCUAUGGUGAGAAACUUACUACUAUUGCGGAGACUUUCAAAGUUUCCCCAUUUCACAACACAUGACUUUGGAUUUUCGGAUAACAUAGAAAUAUCUCACGCAGAAUUUGCUAUAUUUGAAGUUCUACUAAUCACUUUUUUAAUUACAAAAAGUUUCUAUGAAUCACUAAUCCUCUCAACUAACGUAAUAUAAGUUCAAAACCAUCAGCACUACAUCACGGUUGAAAGUUGAAACAUAAACCCCACAACACGUUAUCUUUGUGAAACACUAGCCUAGGUUGAAAUAUUUGCAAGUCUCAAUCUAAGCAAUUUCUACCCAGAUACUUCAAUUUUUGACAACUUCUGUAGAAACAUAGUAGGUCUUCGUUAUAAUAUGUAUAGUUUUUAAAAGUUAUAUCAGGAAAUACAAUAAUAGUUUUUUACUUGUGGGUUUUAUUAAAUGUCAUGAGUCAAAAUUCAAAGCUAAUGAUGAGAACUAUACAAAUCCAAUAAUAGGUAUGCUAAUUCUUUGCUCAAAUUGUAUAUACUGUCAAUAUGUAGAAGUAACGAAAAUAGCGAAAAUAAUGUCUUGAUGUAAACCUUUCAUAAAAUAUUGUUAGAAGUGUGAAAUGACAAACUUACACGCAAGAAUUAGUGUAAGUUGUACAAUAGCAUCUAACGACAUAAAAAAUCAACUUCAAAUAUACAAUAUAGUCUGAUAUAGUUAAAGAAUGUUUGGGGGAGUGUCAAACAUGGAAAAGAGAUAAAAAUCACAAAAUGACCAUAAUCGUCAUUAUAUGAACUAAGUUUAGGAGGCCUUUGCUACUAUAAAGAUAAUAUAAAAAAUAUUAGAUCUUUCAUAGUUUUUCUUUUUCUUUUCGAUAGUUUUUUUUAGGUAGAAAUUGGUCUUGUUCACUGUUGAUGUGUUUAUAGUACUUUUUUUCCUACACUUUACAUCAAAAUCUCGAAACAUCGAUAAGAUGUAUUCGAAUAAAAUUUAUGUGAACUCAUUGAGAUUGAGUUUUAAUAUAAUUUCUUCGGAAUGUGUGUGUGCGCGUGUGUGUGUAUAUAUAUAUAUAUAUAUAUAUAUAUAAAAAAUCAUGUAAAGUUUUCUCUUUUCUCAUAUACGUUCAUAGCAUGGUUUAAUUAUAUUUCUUUGUUCUCUCACUUGAUCUAAAUCAGACUAAUCUUCAUAAAUGUUACUUACUUAUUUACAAAUAAAGAAUCACGAUGGUACAUCAAUAAAGAGGAGGUCAAAACUGAUGAAGAAUGCUUCAUAAAAUUCCUCUAUGAAUAUAGUAUCCUAUGUAUAGAUAUUUGAUCAUUUAAAUUGAACCAAUGAAUCACAAAGUUAAUCAUAACGAUAAAUUAUUUUUAAUUUUUUCCAACUAUAUAGAAUAGAAUAACAAUCUGCCUUCAUCUUUGUUUGAAGAAGCUCCACUCAUAGCUAUAUAUAGUAGAAUCGCAAGUUGCCUUCACCUUUGUUCGAAGAAGCUCCACUAAUGGCUGAUCCACUAUCAGAUGUCUUUGGAUCUAGAGGAAUAAUGGAGACAAAAUGAGUACACCUAAAAUACAGAUAAUAGAAAUUGUUAGUCAAAGACUAUAACAAAAGAGCAAUAAAAUAAUUCUCAUCCCACAAAUCAUGAUAAUGAGAUGUGUGGUUGUUGGUGAACAACCUUGUAUGUUGACGUUUCUGGCCUACCACAAAUGUGAUCGAAGGCUGAUUUUUUGUGGACCAGUCCCAGUUACAUUUGUGGUAGUCCAGAAGCAUCAUCACACAAAGUCGUACAUUAAAAGAUAUGACACCCUAUAGUUGAUUUAAAAUCAUUUAUAAAAUGCUAUAAACAUAUCAAACUAAUAAUCAAAUCAAUCUUUCAACCUACAAAAAUACUAAAAAGAAAAAUAAAUCUGAAAAAUUGAUUAUCAUUGUUUCUAUCUGUAUAAUAACAAAUUAAAGGCCUCCAUUCUUUUAUUCUUAUUAAUGGAGUGAACUGGUUAUCAUUCAGUGAAGUAUUAAGCUAGAUGGUGAAUUGUGUUAAAGCAUGGAAGUUUUAAUUUAUAGCAAAAAGAAGAAGAAAAUAUAAGUUUAGUCAUUAAUAUUAUUAAUAUGCUUUAAUAUCAUAUCUUUCACAUGGAUUCUUAUAGUCAAAUUUAUUUAUUGCAAGGAUAUUUGCAAUAUACUUAUAUUUAUUUCUAGAAUAUUUCAUUAAAUUCAUCACACUCAAUUUUGGAGGAUGAAUUUUCAAAUAUAACCAUUUUUUGAAAUUUAAAAGUAGAGGUAAAUUUUUUGAAAUUUAAAAUUUUAAAAUAAUAUGUUUUAUUCAAUAUUAAGAUUUCUAUUAAAUAGAAUACUUGUUGAUGUAGUUCAGAGUAUUGUUGCUUUUGUCAUGACCCAAAUGGCCGAGAUUGACAUCCACACUAACCAUAUAAUGGGAGAACUAUAGAAAAAUAAGAGACUAGGCCACUAUAAGACAAUCUAACAAAUAACUAAUAAUUAAAUCCAACCGAGUUUUAUAAACAAAGUCAAGGUCAAAUACAUAACUAAAUCAACAUUUGCCAUGACCAAAGAAUACCUAGAUAUGACAUGACGUAUAAGACUCCGAGAGGCCCUACACAAGUCACUUUACUAGUCUACUCAUAGUUUGGACAAGUCAUUCUAAUACUUUAAAGAUGUGGUCGGGACGUAACCCAUACACCACGUACAACGUUUGAAAAAUAAAGACAUAUGAAAAACAAAGUAAAGAUUACAUGGUCCUCAGAACAUGAGAACUCACCAUGUCUUCAAUCUUGAACGAUCAACUAGCUACGAGCGGGAGGAGAGGAAGUGUCACACCCUACAUUAUUAAACAAUGUAGGAACAAGUAUUCAUAAUUAGUACCUUAAAUGUACUAAGUAUGAGGGAUAUGCAUAAAAACAUAAAACAUGAUCAUAAAAGGACAAAAGGGGAAAACAUGAUAUGCAUGACCAAGCUAAAACACAACAUAGUAAAACCUUUAAAGAAGAAUCAUAAAUCAUGAACAUGGUCAAUGCAUCUUAAAAUCGUAAUAAAAGCUUCAUAAGACCAUUAAAGUCACUUUAGUUCAUUUUGUAGGAUAUUUACUAUUAACCAACAUAGACCACGUAAGCUAUAACGUGGAAUCUGAUGUCUUUCUCCCACACCAAAAAAAAAUAUCGUUGCUUACCAAGGCAAAGAACUUAAACUUCUAGACUCUAUGGAUCCUCUGGCUAUGUCAUGACAAUCCUACGAGGACACAUAGUUAGGGACAAAAAGUUUGCUACUAAAGACCGACCUUUAAUGUAACACCCCGUAUCCUAGAUAGACCAAAAUACAGAUUUUGAGAAGUUGCAGGUGUAAUCCACGGACCAUAGAUCAGACCACGGCCCGUGUUGGUGGUCCGUGGUUCACCACUGCAACCCCUCCCCAAACCCAGCUCAGAAAAUCGGCUAAGUCUGGACCCACGAACAGACCCACGGUCCGUAGGUCAGACCACGGUCCGGAGGUCAGACCACGGUCCAUGGUCUGUGUCCGUGGAUCAAGACUCCUUUACCCAGUCUCUGACACAAACUAUGGUCGACCAGCACGGACCGUCGUUCAAUGCACGAUCCAUAGGUCUGACCGUAGAUGAGGGUCAGCAGCCAGUUAGAGGAAAAUUGUUGAUUGGGAAAAAUUCAAAUGGUCAUAACUCUUAGCACAAAAUGAAUUAUGUGUCCCAUGACCUUUGAUAUGAUAGAUAAUUGAAUCUUCUUUCCAACUCCACAAGGUUUGCUAAAAUCUGACCUCCGAGUAAAAUGUUAUGCUCGUUUUAGUGAAGACCUGUCGGACAGACUUGAUAGACGGACCCAAACGACGGUCGGUAGAUCAAACGACGGACCGUCGUUCCUUCCGUGGAUGGGCUUCACCAUUAUUAAGUUAGGGUUGUUUUGGUCCUUUCCCUAUUUCGUUGGACCCCUAAGCUAUGUCGUUUAGACCCUAAAUUAUGAGGUUUUAGUCAAUUUAAGCCUAGAAACAUAACUAGAACUUACCUAAAUCAAAUCAUUAAUCAAAACUUAGAAAAUUAGAACGCUAAGAGGAAAAAUAAGUCAAGAACCCUAGUUCAAGAACGCAACAAGUUUUCUUCAGUUCUAGCCCAGAAAUCAAAGGAUUUCUCCGUGAAAUUCGUCACCAGGUAUGUGGAAUUUCACUAGUGAGUUCCUUUCACCCAUUUAGGUCCCUAGUUUUCAAUCAGUUUCUUGAUUCCCUUAUUAUGACUAGACCUAGGGUUUCUUGAAUGUUAGAAUGUUGGGUCCUAGCUGUUAGAAUGAUCCAAAUCAGAUUAGUAUGUUAAUAUUCAAUUUUAUUGCAUGAGUUUCAGAACCCUAGCUAUGUAUUUCUUUAGUUCAUGAAUUACAUAUGCUAGGUAAGAUAUUUCAGUAUUUAGUUAUACAUGCCUCAGUUUAUGAAUGCAUCAUUAUCAGAUUAAUUGUUGCAUUCUCUGUUUUGCAUGUUCAGUUUAAGCUAUCCAGUAACUUACAUAAUUCAGUCAUAAUGUGUUAAUCACUUAAUCCAUUGGGAGUAGCAUAAUACCGAGUUGGACUAAGGUUCAGCGUACCCAAAUAGUCCCAAAACUACUAGCCACGUAGGUUGUAAGUCCCCUCUGUGGGCAUCAUUUUCAGUGAUCAUGUCAGCAUGCCUCUAUACCUCUGGCUAGGGUUUAUUAGGUUCUCUCGAUGGGGUGUAUACAUCAGACUCCACAUUUAGCUCAUGCGAUUUUAUUAUCGGUUAAUCGUAGCUUGACGCAUACGUGCGCUACAUCUUCUCGUGAUGUAGGUUCAGGUUCUCAGCAUCCAGAUCACGCUUAGAUCGGUUCCCGAUCUCCAGUUCAGCAGAAUCAGUGGUGAGUCCUCAUUCUCCGAGGACAAUAGUCAUGAGUCUCUUUUCAGUAUUAUUUUUAGUCCUUUAGUUUCAGUUUUACUAGACUUAGUUGGGGCAUGUCCUAGCAUUUCUAGUCAGUCAGAGGCUAUUUUCAGACAUAGAUUGAUUCGGCUUAGUAUUGAGUUAAUAUCUUCUUUGUAUUAAACUCAUCAGUUUUCAUUUAUCUUAGUUAUAGUAUAUGGGUAUUCCCCACCCUUUUUAUUUUAUUUAUGAUUUAGCUUCCGCAUCAGUUAUUAUUAUCUUUAGUAUGCUCAUGAUUAUGCCAGCAGGGUUAUCUUGGGGUCACUUAUGAUCCUAGGUCCCGUGUCCGUGUCUCGGAGGUAGUCUCGGGGCGUGACAAACUUGGUAUUAGAGCCUUAGGUUUAAGUGUCCUAGGAUGUUUGAAAAGCCGCUCUAAGUAGAGUCCUUUUCAUGGGUGUGAACUGCACCACAUCUAAUGAGGAGGAGGCUACAAAGUAGUUUUAGGUAAAUCUUCAUUUUCUUGUUACUCUUAUCAUGCGUAAGGUAUGAUCUAAAUUCCAUUCUAACUCGACGUUAUACGUUUCAGUGAUCAUGCCUCCUCGUAGAGCUAAUGCCACGAACACAAAUGCAGCUCCUCCAGUCCUUGAUCAAGAAAUAUUGAAUGCAGAGUUCAGGAACGUCAUUCAGAUAUUGGCUCAGAGUGUGGCCAACCAGAACAAUCAGCGGGUUCAAGCUCCUGUGAAUGCAAAUGGUGGAUCAGCAGCAACGAGGGUCUGUGACUUUGUUAGGAUGAAUCCGCCUGAGCUCUUAGGAUCGCAGACUGGUGAGGAUCCCCAGAAUUUCUUGGAUGAGAUCAAGAAGAUCUUUGAAGUGAUGCAGGUAACUGGGAAUGAUCAGGUUGACGUUAGUAUCUUUACCAACUUAAGAAUGUGGCUCAUAUCUGGUAUACUCAGUGGAAGGAGAACAGGGGUACAGAUGCAACUCCUAUUACUUAGGAUUGUUAAAGCGAAACCUUUCUGGACAAGUUUUUCCCUUUAGAGUUGAGAGAAGCAAGGGCCCAGGAAUUUAUGAACUUAAGGCACGGUAACAUGACUGUCCAAGAGUAUGGGCUCAAGUUUAACCUACUCUCCAGGUAUGCUCCUCACAUGGUUGCUGAUUCCAGGGCUCAGAUGAAUAAGUUUUUGUAUGAAGUGUCAGACUUAGUGAAAAUAGAGUGUAGGAAUGUUAUGUUGUUGGGAGACAUGAACAUCUCUAGGCUCAUGACUCAUGCUCAGCAGGUUGAGGGUGAUAAGCUUAGGGAACAUGCUAAGAAGACAAAGAGAGAAAGAACAGGUAACUACCAGUAUUCCCAAUAGAAAUCAGGUGGUGGGAAUUGCUCGCUAUUUCAGCAGAAGUCUUCGAUUCCAGCCCCUUUAUCAGCUAGUGUUCCAUAUCCCAGGUUCCGUAACGAUCAGAAAGGUAGGGCGUUAGGCUCUAAGUCUCAAGGUAGUGUUUCAGGCACCAAAACUUACCCAACUUGCCCGAAAUGUAACAAGAACCAUCCGGGCGAGUGCCUUGUAGGUAAGGAAGGAUGUUUUGUGUGUGGUCAGUCUGGUCAUAGAUUAAAGGAUUGUCCUUCUAGAUAGGGUCAAAGAGGAAAUAAUGGUAGAGCUCAGUCUACAACUUCAGUAGCACCAGCAGGUCGCCCGAAUCAACAGGGUAACUCAUCUGGUACAGGUGGCGGACAACGCCAAAAUAGGCUCUAUGCUUUUCAGGCUCAUCAAGAUCAUGAAGAUUCUCCUGAUGUAGUCACUGGUACGUUACAAAUCUUUGAUCUUGAUGUUUAUGCAUUGUUAGAUCCAGGGGCAACUUUGUCUUUUGUAACUCCUUACAUAGUAGUCCAAUUCAGUGUUAGCCCAAAAACUCUUUCAGAACCCUUCUCAGUUUCUACUUUAGUCGCUGACCCAGUUAUAGCUAGAUGGGUAUACAAAAAUUCACCUGUCACAGUCUCUCAGAAAGUCACCUCAGCAGAUCUUGUAGAGUUAGAAAUGGUAGACUUCGAUGUCAUUCUAGGCAUGGAUUGGUUACAUUCAUGUUAUGCCACAGUUGAUUGUAGAACUAGGAUUGUUCGUUUUCAGUUUCCAGACGAACCAAUCCUAGAAUGGAUGGGUAGUAGCUUAAGGAUUAAAUCAUCCUAGUGCUUCCCCGUGAGGUGCUCCAGUUUUGUUUUUUACGAAAAAAGAUGGUAGUAUGAGGAUGUGUAUAGAUUACUGCCAAAUUGAAUAGGGUCACCAUUUGAAACAAGUACCCAUUGCCUUGAAUAGAUGGUCUUUUUGACCAAUUGCAAGGUGCAUCAGUUUUCUCUAAGAUUGAUCUAAGGUCUGGUUACCAUCAAUUAAAGAUUAGGCUUGAGGAUGUGCCCAAGACGGCGUUUCGAACCCGCUAUGGGCACUAAGAGUUUCUAGUUAUGUCUUUUGGUUUGAAUAAUGCACUUGCAACUUUCAUGAGUUUGAUGAAAGGGGUGUUCAAACCCUUCCUUGAUUCAUUUGUUGUAGUCUUCAUUGACGAAAUUUUGGACUAUUCGAAAAGUGAGGAGGAGCAUGCCAACAAUUUUUCUAUUGUUCUGGGUGUUCUUGGGAAGCAAAGGUUGUAUGCUAAAUUUUCUAAGUGUGAAUUUGGGCUGACUUCGGUUGCAUUUUUAAGGAAUGUAGUUUCAAAAGAAGAGGUAAUGGUAGAUUCCCAAAAGCUUGAGGCGGUUAAAAUUGGGUUCGGCCUAGCUCUGUGAUAGAAGUUAGGAGCUUUGUAGGGCUCACUAGCUACUAUCAUCGAUUUGUGAAGAACUUUGCAUCUAUUGCCACUCACUUGACAAAUUUGACCACAAAGGAGAUACCAUUUAAAUGGACUGAAAAAUGUGAGGAGAGCUUCCAAAAGCUCAAAACUCUUUUGACCACCGCACCUAUUCUAGCAUAACAGGUUGAGGGUAAGAUUUUAUUGUUUAUUGUGAUGCUUCACAUUCUGGUUUGGGUGUUGUGUUAAUGCAGGAUAAGAAUGUUAUAGCUUACGUAUCGAGUCAAUUGAAGGUGCAUGAGAGAAAUUAUCCAAUACAUGAUUUGGAGUUAGUAGCGGUAAUGUUUGCUCUUAAGAUCUGGUGGCAUUACCUCUAUGGUAUUAAGUGUGAGGUAUAUACUGAUCAUCGUAGUUUGCAGCAUGUGUUCACUCAAAAGGAUCUGAAUUUGAGACAGAGAAUAUGGAUGGAGUUACUCAAGGAUUAUGAUGUGACCAUUCAAUACCAUCCGGACAAGGCUCAUGUGGCAGCAGACGAUUUGAGUCGAAAAACAGUGAGUAUGGGUAGUUUAGCUUGCUUGAGCAUAUUCAAGCAAUCCUUGGCUAAGGAAAUUCAGACCUUGGAGUCUAAGUUCAUGCAGUUAGGCAUCUCAUAAAGAGGUGGGGUGUUAGAAAAAACUGUGAUUGGUAAGGCACAAGAGACCACUCUUGAUGUUGAAGGUGUGCUCAAUUUUAAAGGAAGGACUUGUGUUCCUCGAGUCGAUGACUUGAUUCAGAAAUUGUUGAAAGAAUCUCAUGGUUCGCGAUAUUUCAUUCAUCUGGGUGUGACCAAGAUGUACCAGGAUUUGAAGCGAAUUUAUUGGUGGCCGGGCAUGAACAAGGAUAUAGGAGAGUUUGUGGCCAAGUUUCAGAAUUGCCAGCAAGUAAAGUAUGAACAUCAAAGGCCUGUUGGUUUGCUUCAAAGAAUGCCAAUUCCGAAAUGGAAGUGGGAAAUGAUAACUAUGGACUUCGUGGUUAGUCUUCCCAAGACUUUGGGGAAGUUUGAUUCUAUUUGGGUAGUGGUUGACAGAUUGACUAAAUCAGCCUAUUUUAUUCCGUAAGAAUAAAUUAUAAUGCUGAACAAUUGGCUAAGUUUUAUGUGAACGAGAUAGUGAGGCUGCAUGGAGUGCCCCUUUCUAUCAUCUCAGACCCUAGUACCCAAUUCACAUCCAAGUUUUAGAGGAAGUUACAUGAUGAAUUGGGCACACAACUCAAUUUUAGUACAACCUUCCAUCCACAAACGGACGGACAGUCAGAGAGGACUAUUCAAGUUUUAGAAGACAUGUUGAGGGCAUAUGUGAUUGAUUUUGGAUGCCAUUGGGAUAAGUUCUUACAUUUGUGUGAGUUCUCCUAUAAUAAUAAUUAUCACUCCAGCAUAGAUAUGGCACCAUUUGAGGCACUUUAUGGGAGGGGAUAUAGAUCACCCAUAAGAUGGUUUGAGGUUGCAGAUGUGAAAGCUUUGGGGGUUGAUUUAGUAAGGGAUGCUCAAGAUAAGGUGAGGAGUAUUUAAGCUAAACUUUUAGCAGCCUAGAGUAGACAGAAAAAGUAUGCAGACCAUAAGGUAAGAGAUAUGACAUUUCAGAUUGGUGAGAAUGUUCUUCUUAAGGUAUCACCCAUGAAAGGGGUGAUGAGAUUUGGCAAGAAGGGCAAGCUAAGUCUGUGAUACAUUGGUCCCUUUGAGAAUCUUGAAUGUGUAGGGCCAGUGCCUUAUAGAUUUGCUUUACCUCAUAAUCUAUCUGGAGUUCAUCCGGUGUGUCAUAUAUCCAUGUUGAAGAGAUAUCUUGGUGACGAGGAUUCCAUCAUAAAAUGAGACUCAAUUGUGUUAGACAAAGACCUUUAGUAUGAGGAGGAACCGAUUGCAAUUCUUGAUUGUGAUGUCCGGAAGCUGAGGACCAAGGAGAUUAAGUCCGUGAAAGUUCAAUGAAAGCAUCAUCUAGUUGAGAAAGCUAAUUGGGAAAUCGAGAAGUACAUGCGAGACAAGUAUCCCCAGUUGUUCGUCGAUUCAGGUACUACUCCAUUCCUUCCUAAGCCUAUUUUUUCCUAAGUUUGUCACUCGGGGACGAGUGUUGGGUAAAUUGGUAUCUAUUGUAACGAUAUGUUCUCGUUGUUAUAGAAAAACCAACGGGGAAAUUUUUGGGCUGGAAAACUUUUUCAUCGUAACUUGGAAUUUUCUAACCUAGUCUAGAUUUGGAAGAUAUCAGAGUCAGUAAGGUCUAGGUAAAUUUGGUAACAAUUGGGUGAUUUAAUUAUGAUAUUGAUCACAUGAGUAUAUAGCUAAGACGUUAAGGAACCCGUAGGACUUUACAUAAUUGAAUUCGGGUGAGUAGAACUCCCGAAACUGAUCUUAGCUUGAACGAGUAGUUUCUGAUUGUCGUUGGUUGAAGGUGUGUUGUAAAAUGGGAGUGAGGAAUUCUUAAAUCGACUCACUAAGUUCUGUGCAAGCCGCUAUGGCGGGAAUUUGUGCCGCCAAUGCGGGUCGUUGUAGUGGGGUGAGUACCGCUGUGGCGGGACAAUCGUGAUUUAAGUCGGAAUAAACCACAAAACGUGUUUAUUCUGCAAUUUUUGUUCUUGAGAGUAAGGAGACCAACCCCAGGCGAUUAUUGAUAGGUUUCCACCAUUCUUAAGGCUAAAGGUAAGGUUUUAACUCCCGAUUCCAUUUUUUGAUCCGUAGAUCGUAAUCUAAUGGGUGAUUAUUGAUGGGGGAGGGUUUUGAUAUGGAAUUUUGGUGGAAAAAACCCUAAUCUGGGUAUGGGGAUCAAGGGUGUAACCUAGGGUUGAUCGUAUUGAUUAUAAUCCGGGUAAUUAAGUCUUGUAUAUUGAUCCUAGCAUUAUAUUGAUUGUUUGUAGACCAAGAACAAGAGAAAAGAAUCCGGAAAGGGAAGGAUCAAGUUUCUUAGGGGAUUUAAACUUUGUUCGAGGUAGAUGAUGGUUGUGAUUUCAUGAUUGUGUGAUAUAUGUUUGUUCUUGCUUCAUUAUAAUACGUUUAUGUAUAUGAAUGUUGCACUAUUGAUCACACUAAUUGUAAAUGAGGAUAGAUGAAUGAUGAAUGCCAUUAAUCAUGAUUUGAUUGUAUGGUUAUGAGAGUGUACUUUGUGAUUAUGACUUGUUGAAUGGAAUGGGUGUUGCAUUUCGAUACACUAACUUUGAUCGAUUGCCACGUUCCGGCAUAAAUAUUGGAUCGGUUGCCACGUUUCGGCAUAAACAUUGGAUCGGAUACCACGUAGCGGUAUGCUAACAGUAUGGAUUUGGGUUCCAUGAGAGGACCAUUGACUUACAUAACUGUUUAAUUGAUAAUUGUGAACUUGAUCAUUAUUCUUAAAUGAUAUUGAUAUUGUAUAUGUUCGGUUUAUGCAUAUUAUUAUUAUAUUGUAAUGUCCUAUGUAUGUUGCACUUAGAGGGAUAGUCGUGUGAUCCUAGUAGUACACUGUGGUUGUGUACUGAUGCUGCACUUUCUCUUUCUUUGUUGAGUAUAGGGCAUCUUCCGACGGCUAUUGACAGACCUCGCUUAGAAGAUCAGUGACCGUUUCGAACUCAAGGGUGAGCUAGUUCUUCCGGGCAGCCAUGAGUUCUCUUUCGUUUAAAGUCCACAUUUUUGGACUUAAACUUUCUAGUUAGUUAUUCCUAUGUUAGUUUGGGGUUGCACCCCUUCUUGUUAUACUUAUGGAUCUUGUUAGAAUUUUCGUACAUUGACUUUCAGGUUCUAGGUAUUACUUCUGCAAUGUUAGUUUUGGUUGUUAGACUUUUGUUGGAGUUUAUGGGAACUCCCUAUCUUUUCCUUAGCAUUUAAAUUUGCUUUCGUAACCUUAAAUGCUUUAGUAUUUGAUUAAGUUGGUUAGCUAAUUAGUAUGAAUGGUUAUCCUACUACAGGGUUAGUGUGAGUGCCAAUCAGGAUGGUCUGGGUCGUGACACUACCCUCUUAAAUGAGGUAACUACUCUUGAAAUAUCCUUUUAACUCACAACUCAUUUAGAAAUCUCAAUUUCUCUUUUAUCAAUAUAAAAAUUGAUACCUCUGGGAAUACAUAGUCCCCUUAUACUCUUACUCAAUUCAUACGUGAAAACUCUUUUUCAAAAAUAUAUCAAAGUCAUAUUUUAAUAUGAUCAGUUAUGAGUCAGAAAGUCAUACUGCAUAAUCAUUGAUGGUAUAUCUAGAUAUCAUACUGCUCAUGCAUUGAUGGCAUACUCUAUUGGCAUACUAAUCAUGUUUAACAAACUCUUUUCUCAAAACUCAGUUUAAUAACUCAAGUGUUGGCUUUAAAAAGCUUUUCAAAAUUUAUAAAUCAAAUCAUAGGGUUCAUGUGGAAUUAUGGACAUGAACAACUCAACUUAGAGAUCUUAAUAGCAAUAUGGAAACUCAGUACUCAGAACUCAACAACAUUACUUGUCUUAAAAUUUCUCAAUUUAUAGGGUUCAUGCUGAAAUAUAGACAUGAAUAAAUCAACUCAAGAAUCUUAAUGCAAAACAUAUAACAAUUCAUAAUUAGGAAUAGAAUUUCAAAAAAGACAAUCUAGAACUCGAGAACUCAAAAUCAACUCAUCUCAAGAAUACUGAACUCUAGGGGUAGAAUCCUAGAUUUCCCUUUUACUGAUUUUAAAGUAGAUGUAGGGCCUAGUCCAACACUAUGAUAGCCUUACAUACCUUGAAGAACAAGGUUCUUAAAGAGUCUUGAAGAAGAACUUGAUUAGAAGCCAUGAAACCCUAUCUUGAAGGAGAAAAAUCAAGAAAACCUUUCUUGAGAUUUCUUGAAUUAGUUUCUUGUAACUCUGUGGCCAAGAAUUAGGAUUCUCAUUAGUGAUUCAUAAUUGUAUGAAGAAAAUUGAGUUGGAAAGAAUGAAAUUCUUGGAUAAGGACUUACCUUGAAGAAGAAUCUUGAAAAAGAUUGAAAGAGUCUUGAAAAAGAUCGAAAGAAUCUUGAAUGGAGUCUUCUACUUUGAUUUUUCCUUAGGGUUUGAGAGAGAAGAUAAUGAUGUAUUAAGAGAUUAAAAUUUGAUUGUUUUGGGUCUUUAUUUAGUCAAAAAAUUCAUUUAGAGUUUUCUUAGAGGUAAAAAGACAAAAACGACCCUUUUUUAAUGUUUUUUCGUCGGCUAAUUCGUCACUACAUUGUAUCAAGUUACUAAAAUGGUCAUAACUUUUUACUCAAAACGUGGAUUGUUGCGAAAUUGGUGGCAUUGGAAAGAAGAUUCAAAUACCUUUAAUUUGAUAGGUUAUGGGCCACUUAACUCCUUAUAUUCUAAGAGAUAUGGUCAUUUCAAGGUAAUCCAAAGAGAAUCUUACAUCAAAACUUAAUCGGUAAGGAAACUUUCAACUCUACUUUGUGCUAGGAGUUCUAGUGACCUUAAUUGAUAUCUAAAAUCAUUUCCAAACUAAAGAAUUUACCUUUACACAUAUGGGAAAUUUAAGAAUCACAUGAUAUGACCCUACAAGUAAAUGAAGAAUAGUUCAGGUCUUAACUUUGAAAUUUUUGGGUGUUACAGAAACCCUACACACCUUGAGGAUCAAAGCCCAAAAGCAAUUGAGGAAUAGGAGAAUUGAAGCUUGAAACCCUAGUAUUCUUCUUGGACUUGAGAGAGAAUUGGAGAAGAUGAAUGUAGAUUAAAUUUGAGAAUUUUAGUGAAUAUUGGAGUUUGGGUAAUUUUAGGAGUAGAAGGGUAGAUGUAGGACUUUAAAUUAGAGUUAAAAUGACAUAGUAUAGAAAAUACCCAAAUACCCUUAUGAAAUAGCUAUCAGAGGACCAUGCAGUUUAGACCUACGAAAAGUAAAAAUUCCUACGGACUGCACUAGUCAACCGUAGGCUAAGUUACUGAUGCUUAAAUUUGGUCAACUUCCUAUGACUCCCUUCUACGUACCGUCAAACCUUCUAUGGUCUAUAGACCCCAUCUGUAGACCUUUCUUUUUAACCCUAAAAUUCUACUAAGUCUGAAACCUUUCUACGGGAUCCAUCUACUAUCCAUUAAUUUUUUUACGACUCAUUUUGUUCAUUCGUAGGUAAAACUUUAGAAACUGAAAACUGAAAACACUUAAUUCCAAGUCUACGACUCACUUCCUACGGCCCGUAGAAAGGACUUGUAGUCACUGCCUUAGUGCCAAAAAUCAGAAUUUUCCCUUCCCCACUUAGCUUUCCAAUUUCCAACUAACCUCUAACAACUCACCUAAAAGUCAUUAUAUAGAAAUUCUAACUAAAAUAAGUAUAUUAUAAUGUUCAAUAACUAAAUAAAAUAGAUUGUCUCAAUGUCAGGAAGAUGGAAAAGGACUGUUGCGCCAAUCUCCAUGUAACACCCCAGAAAAAUUUUCGAACUAAGACUCGAACCGUUCUUAUAGUGAGUGAGAUGUGUAAGUCCCUUAUGUGGGCAAUAUCAGUUAGUGAUCAUGUCAGCAUGCCUCUAUACCUCUGGCAGGGUUUAUUAAUUGGAAAUAGCAAAAUCUGAAAUUUUGCAAGUUAAGCUAAGUAUGAGUUUUGGUUCGACUUGAAAAACCAUAACUCCUAGCUCAGGAUGAGUUAGGUGUGCUACCAGAUACCAAAGGAAAUAUCUUUGAAUUAUACAUCCAACGCCACUGAGUUUUCUCAGUUUCAAGUUCGUAUGAGGGAGAUAUGUCCAUUAGAAGUUGGGCUGCCUAGGUAAGGAGAGUCCGAACCAGAUUUUAGAAGGGUAUUUUGGUCUUUUCCUUACCCAAUCAGAUUUAAUUCAUUUUUAGUAAUAUUUUAGGGGACUAAUAUGAUUAGGUUCAGUUUUAUAAUCCCACUAUACACCUAGGGUUUUAGUUGAGAGUUCAAGAAGAGAAAAGAAGAAGAGAAAAAAGGAGAAAAGAGAAAGGAUCAAAGCAUUUGUCAAGAGUCUUGAGUAUUGUUGCGGAUUUUCUCCAUGGGUUUAAUCCCUAAGAGGUAUGUAAGCUUCCAUAGUGUUGGGUUUGUUCACCCACACGCCAAACAUGUCAUUUUCAGCGUAAUUUCACUCUCAAAAGUUGAAGGAUUUAAGUUCUUGAUAGGUAUUCUUGAAGUUUAUUCUAAAUCUUGUUUUGUUGGGGUUUUGAUGAUUUCUUAAUAUGAAAUUUAUUUUCUUGAGUGUUUUCUUAGUGUAUUAGUGUGCAGUUAGUUUGGGUAAUUGAAUCGAAGGAAACGGGAGGCAAAAUUUGUUGAACUUAGCCUGGGUAGAGGGUGGGGCAGUGCGCCUUAGAUGUGCCCAAGGGGCUGGGGCGGAGCCCCUAUGAAGCCUCUAAAGUUUGGGGCUAGCACCCCCCACCUGGAACACGCUAAGGUCGCCUGCCCCCACUCUUUUUCAGUCGGUUGCCCCGUUUGAGUCCGUUUUAAGUGUACCUUCACUACCUUUGAUUCUAAUCACUCUAAACUACUUCUAAACACCUAGAAAUCAUUCAUGACCUUGAAUUCAUAAUUCAAAUUCAAGGUAGAGUCAGAGUUAAGUCUUGAGAGUUUAUUCGAACUUUUCGAGACAAUCCCUUUGAAUCUUUUGUGGAGUCUUCUACAACUUCUAGUAACUUGUUUCAUGACUCAAGUAACUGAGAAUGAGAGUGAGGAGAAUGUAUUCAUGAGUCUACACUAUCACCGAGAUCAUUCAUAUCAUGAACUAUAACUCUUGAAUUCAUAAUUCACAUUCAAGAGAGAGUUAAGAGUAGAGUUCAAGAAAGCCUUUGAGUUUGAUUGUGAAUCCUUUGAGAUCAACAAUUGAGUUGAAUGAAGUUUUAAGGAAGUAAUUAAGAGAAUGAGAAUAGUCGUAUACAUGAGACCCAUAUAGUCAUGUAGACCUUUGAGUCGAGUCGUUCAUGCCCAUAAUUUCGCAUUAACUCUAUAAAUUGAGCUUCAUUGAGAUGAGUAGUAUCUUCAAGUUCUAAGUCUUGAGUAUUGAGUUCCUAAUUCCCUUUGAGAUUAUAUUUCUAAUGAUGGGACUAUUGCAUGUUACCCAUGAAGUCCUUGAGUUGAAUUGUUCAUUCCCAUAAUUCUGCAUGAACCCUACAAGUCGAACAAUCUUGAAAUGAGAAGUAUCUUUGAAUCCUUGAGUUGAGUAGUUCAUGCUCAUAAUUCCACAUGAACCCUCUGAGUUGAGCAUUCUUGAAAUGAGUAGUAUCAAUGAAGUUCUUGAGUUCCAAGUAUUAAGUUAUAUCUAUGGUUAUUGAAAACCUUGUAUUGAGUCUUUCACGUCCAUAAUUCAACAAGAACCAUAUUUUAAGAAGUCUUUUACAAAUGCAUUAAACUUGCUUUAAGACUCAGCAUUGAGUUGAGUAAGAGUAAAAGUGAAGUUCAGUUUCUUCAAAAGAUUAUAUGGGAACUAAGUAUUCUCAAUAAGAAAAUGUUUUCACUUUUAAACGAGAAAAGGAAACCUUGAUUUCCAAAGAGCCUUUGAGCUAGUUUUCAGAAAAGAGUAAAUGCUUUCACAAAUAAGCGAGACAGGAAACUUUGAUUUCCAAGAUAGCCUUUGAGCUAAGUUUUUGAGCAAUUAUCUCAAAUCACAAAAAGAAGUAGAUUUUUAAACAUAAGAUCUAGUAUCAGGGAGUAGUAUUGAGCACCGAUAUGUGGGAGAGUCCAGAUAACUCACAGCCCCCAUAAACCAUGUAGCAAACCAUGGGUAGAAAAGGGUCAUACUUUUUAGAUGAUUCCUUGAUGAUUUUUAGCAUAGACUAGUGGACCCACUUAGUAGUCAGGUUCUAUACCCUUGGCAAGGUAUAAGACGGCCCUGGCAGCAUUAGGCAAAACGUUGUAUCAUCACAAUAGCUCUUAAGUGAUGGUUAUCAGUUAGAGAAACUUCCAUCAAGAUAUUUGUAUUUUUAUAUACAUAGAGUUUACUUGUAUUUUCAUAUACAAAUAGAGUUUAUAUUGUAUCCUUGCAUACAAACUGAGUAUAAUGUAUUGUUAAAUACAUUGAGUUGCUUUCUGUUGUUUUAAAAGCUUUCCAUAUAUUGUAUCUCAUAUUAUUGCUUUAUAUUGAAUUGAGUAUCCAGAGUUUGAGUACCAAGAGUCAAGUGUCUUAUUAUUGAGUUGAGCCUUAUUUCACUGAGUUGAAUAUCUUAUUAUUGAGUUGAACCUUAUUUCACUGAGUUGAAUAAUUUAUCUUAGAGUUGAGUAUCUUAUUCCUGAGUUGAGUUGAGAAGAGGUAAGUAUGUUUCCUUUUUAUCAAGUUUCAAGCUUAUGUUAUGCUUUAGAAUUCCCCUAACAUGCUCGUACAUUCCAUGUACCGAGCCAUUUGACCUGCAUCCUUUCAUGAUGCAGAUUCAGGUAUUCGGGAUAAUCAAUAGGAGCUUCGUUGAUACCACAUGGAGUUCGAAUCAGCUAUGGUGAGCCUCCUUUCUUCUGGAGGAUUUCAUUUACCUUUCAGUUUAUCAGUUGUAAGGAUGUCGUGGGUCUUGUCCCAACUUCCAUCUUUGUCAGUUAGAGGCUUCAUAGAUAGACAGUAGAGUUUCAAAAGUCUAUUUCAUUUAUCUUGUUAAAUGUUUUAAAGACUGGAGUUGCCUAGUUUUGGCUAGUUGAAUAUACGAUUAUAUUAUGAGUUAAUUAUUUAAGCUUCAAUGAGUUUUGUUCUAUUUUAAGCUUUGUAUGCUUAAGUUAGUCUUCCGCUUGUAGUCAGCCAGGAUAAGGGUUCGCUUGGGGACCACUAAUAGUUCUCGUGUGUCGGCCACGUUCAGUGUGUAGGCUCGGUUCGUGACAAACUUGGUAUCAGAGGAUUGAGUUCAAGUGUCCUAGGAUGUCUAUGAAGCCGUGUUUGUAGGGUCUUGUUUAUGGUUGUGAGGGCCCUACUUCUAUAAAUGAGGGACUACAGACAUUUAAGAAGAGUUUCCCUUCUUUCAUACUCUUAAUCGUACAAUAGAGCUAAGUCGUAGAGAUUUAUUCAUACUCGUGCAUUUCUCAGAUUCAUUUGACUACCCAUCAUACAAGAGGUUGGUUGAAAAGUAUAGUGUAAAGAUCCUUAUGGAUGAGUUGUUCUUAGCAAGAGUCUUGAGAAAGUCAUGAGACUCCAGAGGGGCUUGAGAGAAGCCCAAGAGUAAGUUAAGUGUUCAGUUUAGAGGAAUCCACCCAUAAUUAUAUAAAUCGUGCAUUUGAGCUAAAAGUAAGUUGUACCCUUUUCCCUAAGCCUUCUUUAAGCUAAGAUCCUUAUGAGGAAGCAUGUUUAGAGCUUGGGUAGUAUUUUCACCCGAAGAGAUAGCCUGAGUUACGAGAUCAUCAACAGUAAUAGUGAAAGAGCCCAGAGUUAGAGGAAAGUAUGCAGAGGUUUAGUAGUCCUUGAAAGGGAGAUAGCAAUGAAGCAAGCUAUAUUAUUAUAGUCAUGCACCUAAUAAGUUACUAAUGAAGAGUUUUCUUUUAUGGGUAGACUAAGAAGUGAUGAGUUGUGAAGAUUCCAUCAUAGGAGGUAGAGUGUGUUGAGGUAAGAAAGGAGUUUGUGGUGAAUUGUCUUUGUGUAGGUAAUGACCAAGUGUAAGUGUUGAAUAGAAGAGCAGAAGUAUUAAUGAGGUGAUAGAUCUAAGUGAGGCUUAUGAUUUUGAGGGAGAGCCCAUAAUAUUCAAAGUAUUAUAGAACUAAUUAGGCACUGAUGUAUAGUGAAUGAGUGAAUAGUACUCAAGUUGUGAAGGGAAAUGUGAUAGUAAAUUGUAAGAAUGAAUACUAAGAGGUGAGGAUUAACUACUUAUCAUAAGGUCCUAGUGGACGAGUGUUUCUAAAAUUUGCACAUAGUAGUGGUGAGUUUGUAUAGUAGGAGAGAAAUCAUAUUGAUAUUCGGGUUUAGUAAUAAAUACUAAGCUUGAAUUUGAGAUGAGUGUCAUGAUCAAAAGAAUGGCAACAUGAGGGUGAUGAUGUUAGUCUUGAGAUUUGUUCUGGUAGACUUGACAUAGAGUAGGUGAGGAAUUGGGAUGUUAGCUGCAAUAAAUAUGAGUAGUACCAGUGAGAGAUCCUAACCUUUAGAUAAGGGCGGUGAAGUGUGACUAAGUCACAAAAGUAAAAAGAGCAUUAAGAGGUGUACCUAAAGGGUAUGUUAUCAGAUGAGGUUCCAAUUAAGUUAUAAUUUUCCAGGUGUGCCUAGAUAGCAUAAUUGAGUUGUCAAUGUGGAAUAGGUCCAUUUCUUUCAAGUGUUAGCUUUAGACCUAAGGGGGAGACCAUAAGAUGAGAAAUCAAGUCAAGUGUUGAGAAUUUCCUAAGGAUUUAGUUAGUAGGAGUCAAUGGAGUUGUUAGAGUAUUAAACUUGAAUGUGGUGUUGUUAAACAUUAGGUGGUUCUUGAUAUAAGCCCAAUGUGGUGGUAAAGAGUAAUAGUUUGGUUAAUCUUGAAUAUAGCGAAAGUGUACCAUUAUACUCAGACCUUGGUAAGAGUAACCCCAUUUCAUACCCAGUCCAGUCAUCAUUCGAGAACGAAGGAUCCCAAGGGGGUGAUAUCGUAACACCCCAGAAAAUUUUUCUAACUAAGACUCGAACCGUUCUUCAUAGUGAGUGAGAAGUUAUUAAGGAAUUAAAAUUUUCUUAACCGUUAAGGUCAAUAUAUGUAGGACCUUGAUUUCUGAAAAGAACUAAAUUGGAAAUAGCAAAAUCUGAAAUUUUGCAAGUUAAGCUAAGUAUGAGUUUUGGGUUGAGUUCAAAUGACCAUAACUCCUAUCUCAGGAUGCGUUAGGUGUACUACCAGAUACCGUAGGAAAUAUCUUUGAAUUAUCUUUCCAACGCCACUAAGUUUUCUCCGUUUUCAGUUUGUAUGAGGGAGAUAUGUCCAUUAGAAGUUGGGUUGUCUAGAUAAAGAAAGUCAAAACCAGAUUUUAGAGGGGUAUUUUGGUCUUUUCCUUACCCAAUCAGAGUUGAUUCGUUUUUAGUAAUGUUUUAGGGGUCUAAUUGGAUUAGGUUCAGUUUUAUAAGCCUACUAUACGCCUAGGAUUUUAGUUGAGAGUUCAAGAAGAGAAAAGAAGAGGAGAAAAGAGAAAGGAUCAAAGCGUCCGUCGAGAGUCUUGAGUUUUGUUGCAGAUUUCGCCAUGGGUUUAAUCCCUAAGAGGUAUGUAAGCUUCCAUAAUGUUGGUUUUGUUCACCCACACGUCAAAUAUGUUAUUUUCAGCGUCAUUUCACUCUCAAAAGUUGAAGGAUUUCAGUUCUUGAUAGGUGUUCUUGAAGUUCAUUCUAAAUCUUGUUUUGUUGGGGUUUUGAUGAUUUGUUGAGAUAAAAGUGAUUGUUUUCAGUGUUUUUUAGUGGAUUAGUGUGUACAUAGGUUGGGUAAUUGAAUCUAAGGAAAACUUAAGAAAAGAAAUCGAUUAAAAGCGAUUUAGGAUCAGAAAACUAGAGGCAAAAUUCGUCGAACUUGACCUGGGGAGAGGCUGGGGCAGCGCACCCCAGAUGUGCCCAAGGGGCUGGGGCGGCACCCCUCUAGUGCGCCCAUAUGCAGCCUCUGAAGUUUGGGGCUGGCACCCCGCCCCAGGAACGCGCGAGGGUCACCUGCCCCCACUCUUUUUUCGUCGAUUGUCCUGUUUAAGUCCCUUUUAAGUGUACCUUCACUCCCUUUGAUUCUAAUCACUCUAAACUACUUUUAAACACCUAUAAAUCAUUCAUAACAUUAAUCAUAACCUUGAAUUCAUAAUUAAAAUUCAAGGUAGAGUAAGAGUUAAGUGUUGAGAGUUUAUUCGAACUUUUCGAGAGAGUCCCUUUGAAUCUUUUGCGGAGUCUUCUACAACUUCUGGUAACUUGUUUCAAGACUCAAGUAAGCGAGCAUGAGAGUGAGGAGAAUGUAUUCAUGAGUCGACACUAUCACCGAGAUCCUUCAUAUCAUGAACUAUAACUCUUAAAUUCAUAAUUCACAUUGAAGAGAGAGUUAAGAGUAGAGUUCAAGAAAGCCUUUGAGUUUGAUUGUGAACCUUUGAGAUCUACUAUUGAUUUGAACUAAGUUUUGAGGAAGUAAGUAAGAGAAUGAGAAGAGUCGUAUACAUGAGAUCCAUGUAGUCAUGUAGAACUUUGAGUCGAGUCGUUCAUGCCCAUAAUUCUGCAUGAACUCCAUAAAUUGAGCAUCAUUGAGAGGAGUAGUAUCUUCAAGUUCUAAGUCUUGAGUAUUGAAUUCCUAAUUACCUUUGAAGAGUUGAAUUUUUCAUGCCCAUAAUUCCGCAUAAACCAUAUAUAUAUAUAUAUAUAUAUAUAUAUAUAUCAUGUAAGGUUAUCUCUUUUUUCAUCUACAUUAGUAUCAUGUUUAAUUAUAUUUCUUUGUUCUGUCACUUGAUUCAAAUCAGACUAUUCUCCUAAAAAGUCACUUACUUAUUUACAAAUAAAGAAUCACGAUGGUACAUCAAUAAAGAGGAGGCCAAAAUUGAUGAAGAAUGUUUAAUAAAAAUCCACUAUGAAUAUUGUAUCGUCUGUUAAAUAUUUGAUCAUUUAAAUUGAACCAACGAGUCACAAAAUUAUUUAUAACGACAUCUUAUUUUUGUCACGACCCAAAUUGAGUCAUGAGUGACACCCAUACUUGACCUCCUAAGUGGGCGAACCAAGGAAUCUAAACCCCAACAUAUACCAAUAAUUCAACUCCAAAUAACAACAAUAAAAUGCGGAAGCUCCAAAACUUAUUACAGUAACUAAUCAAAUCAACCUCUAAAGUCUGUUACAUAUUAUCCCCAAAACCUGAAAGUCAUCACAUCAAGGACAUCUAAUCUAUAAAUACUAAAUCUAAGAGUAUUAGAGACACCGAAAUAAAUGAAUAAAAUAGUUUGUGUCCGAAAACUAUGGACAUCAAGUCAUGGCCAAGAGAAUCCAACACAAGCUCGAAUAAAUAGCUCACNNNNNNNNNNNNNNNNNNNNNNNNNNNNNNNNNNNNNNNNNNNNNNNNNNNNNNNNNNNNNNNNNNNNNNNNNNNNNNNNNNNNNNNNNNNNNNNNNNNNNNNNNNNNNNNNNNNNNNNNNNNNNNNNNNNNNNNNNNNNNNNNNNNNNNNNNNNNNNNNNNNNNNNNNNNNNNNNNNNNNNNNNNNNNNNNNNNNNNNNNNNNNNNNNNNNNNNNNNNNNNNNNNNNNNNNNNNNNNNNNNNNNNNNNNNNNNNNNNNNNNNNNNNNNNNNNNNNNNNNNNNNNNNNNNNNNNNNNNNNNNNNNNNNNNNNNNNNNNNNNNNNNNNNNNNNNNNNNNNNNNNNNNNNNNNNNNNNNNNNNNNNNNNNNNNNNNNNNNNNNNNNNNNNNNNNNNNNNNNNNNNNNNNNNNNNNNNNNNNNNNNNNNNNNNNNNNNNNNNNNNNNNNNNNNNNNNNNNNNNNNNNNNNNNNNNNNNNNNNNNNNNNNNNNNNNNNNNNNNNNNNNNNNNNNNNNNNNNNNNNNNNNNNNNNNNNNNNNNNNNNNNNNNNNNNNNNNNNNNNNNNNNNNNNNNNNNNNNNNNNNNNNNNNNNNNNNNNNNNNNNNNNNNNNNNNNNNNNNNNNNNNNNNNNNNNNNNNNNNNNNNNNNNNNNNNNNNNNNNNNNNNNNNNNNNNNNNNNNNNNNNNNNNNNNNNNNNNNNNNNNNNNNNNNNNNNNNNNNNNNNNNNNNNNNNNNNNNNNNNNNNNNNNNNNNNNNNNNNNNNNNNNNNNNNNNNNNNNNNNNNNNNNNNNNNNNNNNNNNNNNNNNNNNNNNNNNNNNNNNNNNNNNNNNNNNNNNNNNNNNNNNNNNNNNNNNNNNNNNNNNNNNNNNNNNNNNNNNNNNNNNNNNNNNNNNNNNNNNNNNNNNNNNNNNNNNNNNNNNNNNNNNNNNNNNNNNNNNNNNNNNNNNNNNNNNNNNNNNNNNNNNNNNNNNNNNNNNNNNNNNNNNNNNNNNNNNNNNNNNNNNNNNNNNNNNNNNNNNNNNNNNNNNNNNNNNNNNNNNNNNNNNNNNNNNNNNNNNNNNNNNNNNNNNUAAUUCUAUAAUCAAUUUCCUAAAGUUCAAACCUAGGGGUAAAUCUUAAUUCCUCCAAUUAGCAUAACUUUUAAUGGAAUUUAAAUAAUUCGAUAAACCCAAUAUUUAAUAUCUAUAUCGAUUUAUCAAAACUUAGAUUAUAAUGUGAUAACCAUAGAAAUACCCAUAACCGAAACCACAAGUAAGAGUUUAUCUAUCAAAUAGAAUAAACCAUAACCUAAACCACAAGUUUAUCCAGUACUUUAACUACGACAAAACGUACAAAACAUUAACCUGCUAAUAAUUUGUUCCUUAUACAAUUUCCAGUGACCGACUACUCCAAGCUAAUUAUUAGUAUCACUAGAGGGAAUUAACUAUCACCUUUCCCCACUCAAACAUGUACCUUUAGGUACUCAUUCUAACAUAAAACUAAUUUAAUUGUUGAUUCUUUUCCUCCCAAACCGACACUACACAUAACCCUUUUACUAAGCAUGCAAUCCAUUCAUUAAACCCAAUAAGCAAUAUUAGAAAUCAAAUUUGAUUAAUAAUCAAAGCCACACUUUAUUUACGGAUUAUUAAUGGUUGGUCACAACAUUCCAUUCACAAAGCACUUUAAAUUAUUCAAUACCACCAUAUAAUAUUACUUUUACUAUUCAUUCAGCCAUAAAAUGGCACUAAGUCAUAUCAGGUAAUUAUACAAAAUCUUCCGCCCAAUAAUUAAUAUGCAAAGAACAAUAUUAAUGGUUGUUGUAGAUUUACCUGAGGGUACCGCCGUCUCGUGAGUUGCAGGUAAGCAUUCGCUCUAUUGUCUCGUCUUCUAAUUAUUUAGGGUUAAUAAUUAUCAACUAAUUAAUAAUUAAAUAACUACUAAACCCCUAUAAUUUCUUUCUUACAGAAAAUUUUACUCCUUAAUUAUUAUAUAAGACCAACUAUAAAAGUGUGAAAGUGACCCACUAUAAAUUUUAAUGUUAUUUUCUUUAAGCACCAACUAAAUAAAUUAUUAAAAGUACCCCAUUAAUUAUAUAAUUGUAGUUAUGAAUAGUCUAAAAUACCCAUUUAAAAUCUAAUCGAAAAGUCUUUUACGAAAUAAAAAGCUCUAGUACUCAAAACGACCAAAUGGGUCGUUACAAUUUUCAAUUCUAUUCCAACUAUAUAGAAUAGAAUAGAAAUCUGCCUUAAUCUUUGUUUCAAGAACCUCCACUUAUAGCUAUAUAUAGUAGAAUCGCAAGCCGCCUUCACCUUUGUUUGAAGAAGCUCCGUUGAUGGCUGAUCCACUAUCAGAUGUCUUUGGGUCUAGAGAAAUAACGGAGACACAAUGAGUGUUAUGCCGUAAUUUUCCUAACCUUUAGAAAAAUCACUUUUUGAAUGUUCUAAGUAUAAAAUAAUUUGAGAAAAAUACUUAGAAUAGAGUCGCCACUUAAUUUUUUAAAGAAAUUUAGAAAACUUAUAAUUUUCAAAGACUUAAACAGAAAAAAUCAUUUGAAAAUACCAAAGAGGGUCCGGAGUUCAAUUUACACUUCGAGAAGGGCUUAAGCAUUCGAAGUGCCCGCUAACAUGUGGUUGCCCUGCGACUUGACUAAAAUAUUUUUGACUAUCUUUAGGAAAAUAAUGAUUUAACAUAAAAAAAAUAAUAACUCACAAUAUUUGAUUAACUUUGAUAAAAUAAUUAAAUGAAUGACACAUUUUAUAUUAUUCUAUUUUUUAGAGAAAGGGAUCCAAAAUGGAACAUUUGACUCGAAAAUCAAGUGAUUAGAAUAUUAAUAGAAUUAGAAUUUAUUUGAUUCAUUUUGAAAUAAUAAUUUAAACCAAUUUAAUAAAUUAAAGCAUGAAGAUUCAUAUUGAAUUAAUUGACUAAACCUUUUGAGAAAAUGAUUCAGUAAGUAUUACUAUUUUUAAUUAAUUGAAAAGGUUUUGACUAACAUUUUUAAAGUUUAUUUGAUGAAAAAUACUUUAACUUAAAACAAUUUUAACAUGAGUAAAAUAUGAUUAAGCAAAAAGCAUUAAAGACCAUCUCUUUUUAAGUACAAAAAGUUUAACUUAAUUGAAGAUAUAAAAUUUUGACCAAUAUACUUAAUUACUAAAAUAAAUGAACACAAAACAUGAAAUGUAUUAAAAAUUAAACCAACACAAAGAAUAUAACUCCUCUUUUGGGGAAGUUAAUUAAGCUAAUUAACAAUUCUAAAGUUAGAGUUAAUGAUAAAAAAAAAUAAACAAUAAAUAAAGUCAAUUAAAUAAAUUAGAGGUAAAGGAGAAAUGAAUUUGGGCCCCCUUUUUGGGCCAAUUUUGCUGAAAAUUUUGGCCUUUAAACCAAUCCCGUUUUUAUAUACACAGACUGUAUAUCAGUGUAUAUCGGAUGUAUACAGCCCAUUUUUCUGCUUUCCGAGACCUGUAUAUCAACUCCAAAUACUUUUUCUUCGAUUUCUCAAGGUUGGCUGACUCGUUAACAGAUAAAAUUGGGCCUUUGACCCAACGAGGAGAUGCAAGGAGAGGAGAUAGGAGUUCAUGUUGAACUCCGAGCAAAUUUCACAUGUAACAAAACGGAGGUAAGGAUUAAUAUUUUAUGCAUACAUAAAUAAGUCAAUUGCGACAUGAAGUUUCAGCAACACAUAACUUAUCAUUUAGACAACCAACUACCAAAGAGAUAUGUAUCAUGCUUUAAACAAAUAAUAAGGCAACCAUUAGUAGUAUUGGUGAACAUUAAUUUUCAAAUAAUGAAGAAUGUGAGGUAGUAAAAUGGCCUAAACAGUGAUGUGUUCAUAAUGGAAAGCAUGUAUUUUUAAUGAUAAACAUGUUGCACAUUUGACCGACACACCUCACACAAUAUUCAAAAUUAAAACCAUCUGUAAAAGCCUAAAAAAUGCCAACUAAUCGCACCAAAGAAAAAAAAAUAAAAAUAAAAAAAGGAUGUUGAAGGCACUUAGCAGACCCAAUUAGUUUAAGCAAAAGAAGAGAAAAGACCCUAUUCCAAUAUUAUAUAUAACAACACUACUACACAAACUAACAAGUUGCAAGCACAAAUAAGUAUAGACAAACACAAUAUCCAUAAGAAAUGGCAUUUGUUGAGCAGUAGCACUUAACACAGUGAACGAAAAUGCUAAGUAACAUGGAAAUUGUCCUCAUUAAUAGUGUAUUGACACUUUACCAUAUAUUCAACAAAC